GUCCUAUUGUAUUAUUUAAUAGGUCUGACCUGCCCAGUGAUUAAUUUAACGGCCGCGGUAUUUUGACCGUGCAAAGGUAGCAUAAUCAUUAGUCUUUUAAUAGGAGGCUGGAAUGAAAGGUUUAACGAGAAAUUGACUGUCUCUAUUACAAAAUUGAAUUUAACUUUUGAGUUAAAAGGCUCAAAUAUUAUUGAAGGACGAGAAGACCCUAUAGAGCUUCACAUUUUUUAGCUAAAAAUAUUUUGAUAUUAUUAUUUAUUUUUAUUAAAAAAAAUGUUUUGUUGGGGUGACAAUAAAUAUAUACUUAACUUUUAUCAUAUUAUUUACAUUAAUUUAUGAUUUAUUGGAUCCGGAAUUUCUGAUCAAUAGUUUAAGUUACCUUAGGGAUAACAGCGUAAUCUUCCCUCAGAGUUCAUAUUUACGGGAAGGGUUGCGACCUCGAUGUUGGAUUAAGAUAAUAAUUGGGUGUAGUAGCUUGAUUAAUAGGUCUGUUCGACCUUUAAAUUCUUACAUGAUCUGAGUUCAGACCGG
rnacentral:rRNA from 1 species